UUAGAGACCGGCGCACGGGUGCGUAACGCGUAUGCAAUCUACCUUUCACAGAGGGAUAGCCCAGAGAAAUUUGGAUUAAUACCUCAUAGUAUAGCAGUUUCGCAUGAAACCACUAUUAAAGUCACAACGGUGAAAGAUGAGCAUGCGUCCCAUUANCUAGUUGGUAAGGUAACGGCUUACCAAGGCAACGAUGGGUAGGGGUCCUGAGAGGGAGAUCCCCCACACUGGUACUGAGACACGGACCAGACUCCUACGGGAGGCAGCAGUGAGGAAUAUUGGACAAUGGGCGCAAGCCUGAUCCAGCCAUGCCGCGUGCAGGAUGACGGUCCUAUGGAUUGUAAACUGCUUUUAUACAGGAAGAAACACUACUUCGUGAAGUANCUUGACGGUACUGUAAGAAUAAGGAUCGGCUAACUCCGUGCCANCAGCCGCGGUAAUACGGAGGAUCCAAGCGUUAUCCGGAAUCAUUGGGUUUAAAGGGUCCGUAGGCGGUUUAGUAAGUCAGUGGUGAAAGCCCAUCGCUCAACGGUGGAACGGCCAUUGAUACUGCUAAACUUGAAUUAUUAGGAAGUAACUAGAAUAUGUAGUGUAGCGGUGAAAUGCUUAGAGAUUACAUGGAAUACCAAUUGCGAAGGCAGGUUACUACUAAUGGAUUGACGCUGAUGGACGAAAGCGUGGGUAGCGAACAGGAUUAGAUACCCUGGNUAGUCCACGCCGUAAACGAUGGAUACUAGCUGUUGGGAGCAAUCUCAGUGGCUAAGCGAAAGUGAUAAGUAUCCCACCUGGGGAGUACGUUCGCAGAAUGAAACUNAAAGGAANUUGACGGGGGCCCGCACAAGCGGUGGAGCNUGUGGUUUAAUUUCGAUUGAUACGCGAGGAACCUUUACCAAGGCUUAA
rnacentral:rRNA from 1 species